UUUAAAGAGAGUUUGAUCCUGGCUCAGGACGAACGCUGGCGGCGUGCCUAAUACAUGCAAGUCGAACGAACGGAGGAAGAGCUUGCUCUUCCAAUGUUAGUGGCGGACGGGUGAGUAACACGUGGGCAACCUGCCUGUAAGUUGGGGAUAACUCCGGG
rnacentral:rRNA from 1 species